rnacentral:lncRNA from 1 species
GAGACUGACCCUCCUGAAUACUGUGUGGUUGCCCCUGAUACUGAGAUCUUCUGUGAGGGAGAGCCAGUGAGAAGGGAAGAUGAGAAUCGAUUAGAUGAGGUUGGCUAUGAUGAUGUUGGUGGGGUUAGAAAGCAGAUGGCUCAGAUUCGAGAAUUAGUAGAACUUCCAUUAAGGCACCCGCAGCUCUUUAAGUCAAUUGGUGUGAAGCCACCGAAAGGAAUUUUGCUUUAUGGACCUCCUGGAUCUGGGAAGACACUGAU